AGUCACUCGCCGUUUAACGAUAAAAACAAACCUUUUGAAAACACUUUUCGGGUCAAAGAGUAUAAAGGCGUCAUUAAGAUACCACGAAGCAAACGGACUGGAAUAACAAUCUGGUGGGACUCGCAACGGGAAUCUAUGUUCCAACCGGAUCGGAGAAGACGGGACCGGUCAUCGAUGCGAACUUGAGACUUGCCUAAUCGUCGGACGAAAUGGCACGCGCAGGAACGAAAUAAUAUACACAUUACAGAUCUACGCUGGCGACUGUCUACUAGGUCGAAAACAACAACGUCAGAACGAGAUGUCGCCGUUCCGUCCGAGCAGCAACGAACGUGGAAGACUCUGGAAGGCUUCUUAUCAAUUAACUCUGACCUCUAAACUCCGGAUGAUCUCAUCGACAACGCCGUUCAGUUGAAUCUCUCAAUUCCGAUACACGGUUUUCGUCAAGUCGAACAUCGGAAUACUGUAAUCAAUAUGCCGAUUAAUUAAGUAAAGAUGAACGUAAAGAUGCGAAUAAAUGCAGAUUUCACGUGAAGUUUAACUGCGACGUGAAAUCGUGCUUUAUAAUAAUUUCUUAUUAAUUUCUCGUGUAAAUAGUAUAACAAUGAAAAAAACAUUGUACGAUUUAGAAGUGAUUUCUUAUUCAUUACUUAUUUUUAUUAUUAAAUUAAUCUAUUAGUCUGUC